UCCCAGCAACAAUCCCUCACCGUCGCUUAGGAUUUCAGAUGGCCUUGUAUGGAGGUGGCCAAAUGGUGGAAGGAUUCGUCCAAAGUUUUGUUAGAUUUUAACUCAAUAUUAGGCGUGCAAGUGGGGAGUGAGAAAUUUUGUAUUCAACAUGAAAAUGAAUUGAUUUGAGAUACAUUGAGGGCAAUCUUAUAAUCAUUAUUGAGCUUAACCUUAUUGUGUGACAUAUUUUUUACUGAAUACAUGUGAUGAUGCUAAUAUAAAAAAGGUAUCGCUUUAA